UACGUAGGGGGCAAGCGUUGUCCGGAAUCAUUGGGCGUAAAGCGCGUGUAGGCGGCCCGGUAAGUCCGCUGUGAAAGUCGGGGGCUCAACCCUCGAAUGCCGGUGGAUACUGUCGGGCUAGAGUGCGGGAGAGGCGAGUGGAAUUCCUGGUGUAGCGGUGAAAUGCGCAGAUAUCAGGAGGAACACCAAUUGCGAAGGCAGCUCGCUGGAACGUAACUGACGCUGAGACGCGAAAGCGUGGGGAGGCAAACAGG
rnacentral:rRNA from 1 species